GACGAACGCUGGCGGCGUGCCUAAUACAUGCAAGUAGAACGCUGAAGGAGGAGCUUGCUUCUCCGGAUGAGUUGCGAACGGGUGAGUAACGCGUAGGUAACCUGCCUGGUAGCGGGGGAUAACUAUUGGAAACGAUAGCUAAUACCGCAUAAGAGUAGAUGUCGCAUGACAUUUGCUUAAAAGGUGCAACUGCACCACUACCAGAUGGACCUGCGUUGUAUUAGCUAGUUGGUGAGGUAACGGCUCACCAAGGCAACGAUACAUAGCCGACCUGAGAGGGUGAUCGGCCACACUGGGACUGAGACACGGCCCAGACUCCUACGGGAGGCAGCAGUAGGGAAUCUUCGGCAAUGGACGGAAGUCUGACCGAGCAACGCCGCGUGAGUUAAGAAGGUUUUCGGAUCGUAAAGCUCUGUUGUAAGAGAAGAACGAGUGUGAGAGUGGAAAGUUCACACUGUGACGGUAUCUUACCAGAAAGGGACGGCUAACUACGUG
rnacentral:rRNA from 1 species